GAUGAACGCUGGCGGCGUGCCUAAUACAUGCAAGUCGAACGAAAAUUCUUUAUGACCGAGUGCUUGCACUCACCGAUGGAGGGGUGAGUGGCGAACGGGUGAGUAACACGUAGGCAACCUGCCCAAAAGAGGGGGAUAACACUUGGAAACAGGAGCUAAUACAGCAUAACCAUAGUUACCGCAUGGUAACUAUGUAGAAGGUGGCUAUACUACCCCUGUUGCAUGGGCCCGCGGCGCAUUAGCUAGUUGGUAGGGUAAAGGCUUACCAAGGCAAUGAUGCGUAGCCGAAUUGAGAGGUUGAUCGGCCACAUUGGGACUGAGACACGGUCCAGACUCCUACGGGAGGCAGCAGUAGGGAAUCUUCCACAAUGGGCGAAAGCCUGAUGGAGCAACGCCGCGUGAGUGAUGAAGGUCUUCGGAUCGUAAAACCCUGUUGUUAGGGAAGAAAGUGCGUGUGAGUAACUGUUCACGUUUCGACGGUAUCUAACCAGAAAGCCACGGCUAACUACGUG
rnacentral:rRNA from 1 species